GAUGAAGAACGCAUCGAAAUGCGAUAAGUAAUGUGAAUUGCAGAAUUCAGUGAAUCAUCGAAUCUUUGAACGCACAUUGCGCCCAUUAGUAUUCUAGUGGGCAUGCCUGUUCGAGCGUCAUUAAGUCCACUUAAGCCCUGCUUAGUGUUGGGAGACUGCUCCAGCGGUGCUACCCUGUAGCUACCCUGCAGCUCCUCAAAGACAGCGGCGGAGUUGUGGUAUCCUCUGAGCUUAGUAACUUGUUCUAGCUUUCGAGUACACCACUUCCCCUGCCGUAAAACCCUUAAUUUUUAAUGGUUGACCUCGGAUCAGGUAGGAAUACCCGCUGAACUUAAGCAUAUCAAUAAGCGGAGGA
rnacentral:misc_RNA from 1 species